rnacentral:rRNA from 1 species
UGGGGAAUUUUGGACAAUGGGCGAAAGCCUGAUCCAGCAAUGCCGCGUGUGUGAAGAAGGCCUUCGGGUUGUAAAGCACUUUUGUCCGGAAAGAAAUCCUUGGCUCUAAUACAGUCGGGGGAUGACGGUACCGGAAGAAUAAGCACCGGCUAACUACGUGCCAGCAGCCGCGGUAAUACGUAGGGUGCAAGCGUUAAUCGGAAUUACUGGGCGUAAAGCGUGCGCAGGCGGUUUGCUAAGACCGAUGUGAAAUCCCCGGGCUCAACCUGGGAACUGCAUUGGUGACUGGCAGGCUAGAGUAUGGCAGAGGGGGGUAGAAUUCCACGUGUAGCAGUGAAAUGCGUAGAGAUGUGGAGGAAUACCGAUGGCGAAGGCAGCCCCCUGGGCCAAAUACUGACGCUCAUACACGAAAGCGUGGGGAGCAAACAGGAUUAGAUACCCUGGUAGUCCACGCCCUAAACGAUGUCAACUAGUUGUUGGGGAUUCAUUUCCUUAGUAACGUAGCUAACGCGUGAAGUUGACCGCCUGGGGAGUACGGUCGCAAGAUUAAAACUCAAAUGAAUUGACGGGGU